rnacentral:lncRNA from 1 species
AGCAUCCCUUAACAAACUGUACACUUCAAUAAUCACGGCCCAAACAUGAAACAUCAAGUUUUGUUUCCCGUAUACAAACAUCAGGUACUGAAUCGUACGAAAACUCCAAAUAGUUGGCUGUUUUACAAAGUGCAGCAAAAUCAUUUUCAAGCAGGACUUUCGGUUAGGCAUUUUAUCAAACACUAAAUGGGCAUGGAAAUUUCAGCAAUUCCUUACUCAGAUGAGGUCUCGGUUGGCCCCAAAACUAACAGAAAAACCAGAAAUUUCAACUCAAUUAAUACCUAUACCAUGUACAAUCAGACAAUCGUGAACAGCUAACAUCCAAAUUUGCCACCCCAAUCCACAAUAGACAUGCUUUGAGAGAACUACUGAAAAUGUAAAAGAAAGGAGCAACUUACAGGGUUCUCCCAGUGAGCCUCACUGGCGGUGAUGGUGGCCUCUGGUGAGAUUGCGGUGGCG